rnacentral:rRNA from 1 species
CCUACGGGUGGCAGCAGUGGGGAAUAUUGGACAAUGGGGGGAACCCUGAUCCAGCCAUGCCGCGUGUGUGAAGAAGGCCCUCGGGUUGUAAAGCACUUUCAGUGAGGAAGAACGCCUGGUGGUUAAUACCCAUCAGGAAAGACAUCACUCACAGAAGAAGCACCGGCUACACUCCGUGCCAGCAGCCGCGGUAAUACGGAGGGUGCGAGCGUUAAUCGGAAUUACUGGGCGUAAAGCGCGCGUAGGUGGCUUGAUAAGCCGGUUGUGAAAGCCCCGGGCUCAACCUGGGAACGGCAUCCGGAACUGUUAAGCUUGGGGUGAGGAGGGGGAAGUGGAAUUCCCCGUGUUGCGGUGGAAAGCGUAGAGAUUGGGAGGAAAAACAGUGGCGAAGGGGGCCUUUCGGACUGGAACUGGCGCUGAGGUUCGAAAGCGUGGGGAACCAAAAGGAUUAGAUAACCCAGUAGUC